CAGUAAAAGACAGCCUUUAGUGCAUCUUGGCAGGGUAUUAAUGUAAACAUUAAUGUUAAUUUUAUUGAUAUUACUGUUUUUCAAACAGAGAUUGAUGGAGAAAAAAAAAGUAUUAUAUUUUUAUGACAUUCCUGAAUUCUGACUAAUCUAAUGAGUCUAAUAAUCUAUUUCUGAUGUAUGGGGGUACUUGGGUCUUGAUGUAAACAAACAAGUCCAUCAAAUAUGUCAGAAUACCAGAUGUGUUCAUAAGGCCUUGCAGUGUAAAUGCAGCCUAAAUAAAGAGGUACUUUUAAUUUGACAUGUCUUGACAGGAACAGAUGUCAUCAUUAAAGACUUCUGGUCAUUUUUUCCCUGGAACACAAACUGAGAGGGCUGGGAAAAUGAUGAGCGACAGCUGUGAAUGGAGGUAGAGUCUGUUGCUCCUCGUGCAGAUUUGGCACUGGCUUUCCAAACACAUUUCUUCAGGUGUCUUCAAGCUGGUUUAAAUGAACGGGCCUCCUGCUGACAGACAGAUUCUUGAAUGGGUGAUGGUCAGAAUGAAGAGACACAGAUGUGGACAAUUAUCUUUGCACGCUGCACACAUCCCUCACCGAGAGUCUGAGGACAGGGGCUGAUGAUGAAGCCGUGGGAUUGCCCCCUGGAAAUGAUCACACCUGCGUGGAGGUAAUAAGAUGGUGGUUUGCUGAGAGCCGGUUUGAUUACCGAGCUCGGAGACGUGGAGUGUGAUUGGCAGUGGAAUGUAGACAGUGUGAUUAGGGGGGACGGAUCUUGGCUGUUACUUCUCAUGGAGCAAAGGUGUCGAGCGUGAAGAUGUUGGAAAUAUGUCGAAGCGUCAGUUGUAGCUGAGUCAGUCAAUUAUGAGGCAGUGUUGGCGUGCACCAUCUGUAUAUCUUAGCGAUGAGUUUUGUUCAAAAAUCUCCAAAAACAGACUGAAUGACAUCAUCAACAAAUAAACAGUUUCAGAUAAGAUUAGAAAGAAUGCCAUCAAAAAAUAAUCAGACCACAUUUUAUAUAGCCUAUAUUUAGCCAAUAAAAAUUUUAUGAAAUUUAAUAAAAUUAAAAUAUUUGUAACAUAUAGCCUAUAUGUAUCUCAAAAGUUUGGAAUAAUUAAGAUUUUUUUUAAGUCUCUUUUGCUCACCAAGGCUGUAUUUAUUUGAUGAAAAAUACAGUAAAAAUAAGAAAUAUUAUUACAACUUAAAUAUAUUUUUAACUGUAAUUUAUUCCUGUGAUGCAAAGUUUAAUUUUCAACAUCAUUACUCCAAGCUUCAGUGUCACAUGAUCCUUCAGAAAUCAUUUUAAUUUGCUUAAGAAAGGCUUCGUAUUAUAAAUGUUGAAAGUAUUUUUGCUGCUUACUGUUUUUGUUGAAACUGUGAUAUACUACCAUUCCAGAUUUUUAAAGUAAGAUUUUUUUAAGAAAUUAAUGUACUUUUAUUUACCGAUAAUGCAUUAAAUUGAUCAGAAGUCAAAGAAUCCUGGGGAAAUAAAGUAUCGUGGUUGCCACAAAAUUAUUAGGAAGCACAUCUGUUUUCAAUAUUGAUAAUAGUUUACUUUGUCUUACAUCUUGGCAAAUUCUUCUUGCUUGUUUCAAGCACAAACA
ensembl:lncRNA